rfam:Gracilibacillus boraciitolerans JCM 21714 DNA, contig:contig_44.
AGGUAUUGUCUCCUAGACCUUUAUCAUUGGAGGCACUCGGCGAUGCUGUGGGUGGAGUCACCUUAGCACUAGUUGUCAGUAGUAUCGCGUGAGGCGGGGGGGUUGAAUGCUAU